rnacentral:lncRNA from 1 species
GAGAUAUGGCAUAGUAAGAAAUCGAGUCUGAGUUAUCUUAAGACUUGGGGAUGUCCAGUCUAUGUUAAAAAAUAAAAAGCUAAUAAGUUAGAGGAUAGAUUAGUUGUAGCUCGGUUUAUAAGAUAUCUCAAGAAAUUCAUUGGGUACUACUUUUACUUUUCAUAUGACCAUAAUAUGAUUGUGAGUCAUAAUGCCAUGUUCCUAGAAAAAUAGUUUAUCCAAGAUGGUGGUAGUGGGAGGUU